rnacentral:rRNA from 1 species
UAGGGAAUCUUCCGCAAUGGACGAAAGUCUGACGGAGCAACGCCGCGUGAGUGAAGAAGGAUUUCGGUUCGUAAAACUCUGUUGUUAGGGAAGAAACAAAUGACGGUACCUGAAAAACAAGCCACGGCUAACUACGUGCCAGCAGCCGCGGUAAUACGUAGGUGGCGAGCGUUAUCCGGAUUUACUGGGUGUAAAGGGCGUGCAGGCGGGCUGAUAAGUCAGAUGUGAAAUCCCCGAGCUUAACUCGGGAACUGCAUCUGAUACUGUUGGUCUUGAGUGCUGGAGAGGAUAGUGGAAUUCCUAGUGUAGCGGUAAAAUGCGCAGAUAUUAGGAGGAACACCAGUGGCGAAGGCGGCUAUCUGGACAGUAACUGACGCUGAGGCGCGAAAGCGUGGGUAGCAAACAGG